rnacentral:rRNA from 1 species
CAACGAGAACGCUUCAGCUUGCUGAAGUUAGUAAAGUGGCGCACGGGUGAGUAACGCGUGGGUAAUCUACCCUCGAAUUGGGGAUAACAUCGCGAAAGUGAUGCUAAUACCGGAUAAUAUCUUAGAAACCUCGGUUUUAAAGAUCAAAGGUGGCCUCUACAUGUAAGCUUCUGUUUGGGGAUGAGCCCGCGUACCAUUAGCUUGUUGGUAGGGUAAUGGCCUACCAAGGCUGCGAUGGUUAGCUGGUCUGAGAGGAUGAUCAGCCACACUGGAACUGACACACGGUCCAGACUCCUACGGGAGGCAGCAGUGAGGAAUUUUGCGCAAUGGGGGAAACCCUGACGCAGCAACGCCGCGUGAGUGAUGAAGGCUUUCGGGUCGUAAAGCUCUGUCAAGUGGGAAGAACCCACAUGGUGAUAAUACCACUAUGUGCUGACGGUACCACUGAAGGAAGCACCGGCUAACUCCGUGCCAGCAGCCGCGGUAAUACGGGGGGUGCAAGCGUUAUUCGGAAUUACUGGG